rnacentral:rRNA from 1 species
UACGAAGGUCCCAAGCGUUAUCCGGAUUUAUUGGGUUUAAAGGGUGCGUAGGCGGGCUAUUAAGUCAGUGGUGAAAGCCCCAAGCUUAACUUGGGAAUUGCCAUUGAUACUGAUGACCUUGAGUACAUUUGAAGUGGGCGGAAUGUGUCAUGUAGCGGUGAAAUGCUUAGAUAUGACACAGAACACCGAUUGCGUAGGCAGCUCACUAAGCUGUAACUGACGCUGAGGCACGAAAGCGUGGGGAGCAAACAGG